rnacentral:rRNA from 1 species
UGGCUCAGAUUGAACGCUGGCGGCAGGCCUAACACAUGCAAGUCGAACGGUAACAGGAAGAGCUUGCUUCUUUGCUGACGAGUGGCGGACGGGUGAGUAAUGUCUGGGAAACUGCCUGAUGGAGGGGGAUAACUACUGGAAACGGUAGCUAAUACCGCAUAACGUCGCAAGACCAAAGAGGGGGACCUUCGGGCCUCUUGCCAUCGGAUGUGCCCAGAUGGGAUUAGCUAGUAGGUGGGGUAACGGCUCACCUAGGCGACGAUCCCUAGCUGGUCUGAGAGGAUGACCAGCCACACUGGAACUGAGACACGGUCCAGACUCCUACGGGAGGCAGCAGUGGGGAAUAUUGCACAAUGGGCGCAAGCCUGAUGCAGCCAUGCCGCGUGUAUGAAGAAGGCCUUCGGGUUGUAAAGUACUUUCAGCGGGGAGGAAGGGAGUAAAGUUAAUACCUUUGCUCAUUGACGUUACCCGCAGAAGAAGCACCGGCUAACUCCGUGCCAGCAGCCGCGGUAAUACGGAGGGUGCAAGCGUUAAUCGGAAUUACUGGGCGUAAAGCGCACGCAGGCGGUUUGUUAAGUCAGAUGUGAAAUCCCCGGGCUCAACCUGGGAACUGCAUCUGAUACUGGCAAGCUUGAGUCUCGUAGAGGGGGGUAGAAUUCCAGGUGUAGCGGUGAAAU